GAUGAACGCUGGCGGCGUGCCUAAUACAUGCAAGUCGAGCGAAUGGAUUAAGAGCUUGCUCUUAUGAAGUUAGCGGCGGACGGGUGAGUAACACGUGGGUAACCUGCCCGUAAGACUGGGAUAACUCCGGGAAACCGGGGCUAAUACCGGAUAACAUUUUGAACCGCAUGGUUCGAAAUUGAAAGGCGGCUUCGGCUGUCACUUAUGGAUGGACCCGCGUCGCAUUAGCUAGUUGGUGAGGUAAUGGCUCACCAAGGCAACGAUGCGUAGCGGACCUGAGAGGGUGAUCGGCCACACUGCGACUGAGACACGGCCCAGACUCCUACGGGAGGCAGCAGUAGGGAAUCUUCCGCAAUGGACGAAGGUCUGACGGAGCAACGCCGCGUGAGUGAUGAAGGCUUUCGGGUCGUAAAACUCUGUUGUUAGGGAAGAACAAGUGCUAGUUGAAUAAGCUGGCACCUUGACGGUACCUAACCAGAAAGCCACGGCUAACUACGUGCCAGCCGCCGCAGUAA
rnacentral:rRNA from 1 species